AUGGGAGCUAUCAAUAAGCUUUUAUUAGGCAUAUUCUCCAUAGCCCUAAUCUUAAGCACCCAUGUCUCUCAAGCCAGACCCAACAAAGAACCCCACCAGGACUUCAUAGAUGAACACAACAGAGCUCGAGCUGAGGUUGGUGUUGGUCCAAUCAAAUGGAACGACACCGUUGCAGCCUACGCCCAGAAUUAUGCGGAUUCGAAGAUUGAGACAUGUGAAAUGGUGCACUCACAGGGCCCAUAUGGUGAGAACUUGGCUGAAGGCUAUGGAGAAAUGACCGGCGGGCAGGCUGUGAAGUUUUGGGUGACUGAGAAGCCCAACUACGACUAUGCCUCCAACACAUGCGUUGGUGAUGUCUGUGGGCACUACACUCAGGUGGUUUGGCGCAAUUCGACUUAUGUGGGUUGUGCUAGGGCUAAGUGCAAUAAUGGCUGGAUGUUUGUGAUUUGUAGUUAUUAUCCUCCUGGAAAUUAUAUAGGAGAGCGUCCUUACUAG
rnacentral:lncRNA from 1 species